rnacentral:rRNA from 1 species
AGAACGAACGCUGGUGGCAGGCUUAACACAUGCAAGUCGAACGCACUCUUCGGAGUGAGUGGCAGACGGGUGAGUAACGCGUGGGAACGUACCCUUUGGUUCGGGAUAACCCGGGGAAACUCGGGCUAAUACCGGAUAAGCCGGAAACGGGAAAGGUUUACUGCCGAAGGAUCGGCCCGCGUCGGAUUAGCUAGUUGGUGUGGUAACGGCGCACCAAGGCGACGAUCCGUAGCUGGUCUGAGAGGAUGAUCAGCCAGACUGGGACUGAGAACGGCCCAGACUCCUACGGGAGGCAGCAGUCGGGAAUUUUGCCCAAUGGACGAAAGUCUGAGGCAGCAACUCCGCGUGAGGGACGAAGGCCUUCGGGCCGUAAACCUCUUUUCUCAGGGAAGAUACAAGACGGUACCUGAGGAAUAAGCCACGGCUAACUACGUGCCAGCAGCCGC